UUAGUCUUGUAAAUUCCUUUGGG
rnacentral:miRNA from 1 species